rnacentral:rRNA from 1 species
GUGGGGAAUUUUGGACAAUGGGCGCAAGCCUGAUCCAGCAAUGCCGCGUGUGUGAAGAAGGCCUUCGGGUUGUAAAGCACUUUUGGCAGGAAAGAAAUAGUGCGUGCUAAUACCAUGCGCGAAUGACGGUACCUGCAGAAUAAGCACCGGCUAACUACGUGCCAGCAGCCGCGGUAAGACGUAGGGUGCAAGCGUUAAUCGGAAUUACUGGGCGUAAAGCGUGCGCAGGCGGUUUUGUAAGACAGGUGUGAAAUCCCCGGGCUCAACCUGGGAACUGCACUUGUGACUGCAAGGCUAGAGUGUGUCAGAGGGAGGUGGAAUUCCGCGUGUAGCAGUGAAAUGCGUAGAGAUGCGGAGGAACACCGAUGGCGAAGGCAGCCUCCUGGGAUAACACUGACGCUCAGGCACGAAAGCGUGGGGAGCAAACAGGAUUAGAUACCCCUGUAGUCC